rnacentral:rRNA from 1 species
UGGCUCAGGACGAACGCUGGCGGCGUGCCUAAUACAUGCAAGUCGAACGAACUCUGGUAUUGAUUGGUGCUUGCAUCAUGAUUUACAUUUGAGUGAGUGGCGAACUGGUGAGUAACACGUGGGAAACCUGCCCAGAAGCGGGGGAUAACACCUGGAAACAGAUGCUAAUACCGCAUAACAACUUGGACCGCAUGGUCCGAGUUUGAAAGAUGGCUUCGGCUAUCACUUUUGGAUGGUCCCGCGGCGUAUUAGCUAGAUGGUGGGGUAACGGCUCACCAUGGCAAUGAUACGUAGCCGACCUGAGAGGGUAAUCGGCCACAUUGGGACUGAGACACGGCCCAAACUCCUACGGGAGGCAGCAGUAGGGAAUCUUCCACAAUGGACGAAAGUCUGAUGGAGCAACGCCGCGUGAGUGAAGAAGGGUUUCGGCUCGUAAAACUCUGUUGUUAAAGAAGAACAUAUCUGAGAGUAACUGUUCAGGUAUUGACGGUAUUUAACCAGAAAGCCACGGCUAACUACGUGCCAGCAGCCGCGGUAAUACGUAGGUGGCAAGCGUUGUCCGGAUUUAUUGGGCGUAAAGCGAGCGCAGGCGGUUUUUUAAGUCUGAUGUGAAGGCCUUCGGCUCAACCGAAGAAGUGCAUCGGAAACUGGGAAACUUGAGUGCAGAAGAGGACAGUGGAACUCCAUGUGUAGCGGUGAAAUGCGUAGAUAUAUGGAAGAACACCAGUGGCGAAGGCGGCUGUCUGGUCUGUAACUGACGCUGAGGCUCGAAAGUAUGGGUAGCAAACAGGAUUAGAUACCCUGGUAGUCCAUACCGUAAACGAUGAAUGCUAAGUGUUGGAGGGUUUCCGCCCUUCAGUGCUGCAGCUAACGCAUUAAGCAUUCCGCCUGGGGAGUACGGCCGCAAGGCUGAAACUCAAAGGAAUUGACGGGGGCCCGCACAAGCGGUGGAGCAUGUGGUUUAAUUCGAAGCUACGCGAAGAACCUUACCAGGUCUUGACAUACUAUGCAAAUCUAAGAGAUUAGACGUUCCCUUCGGGGACAUGGAUACAGGUGGUGCAUGGUUGUCGUCAGCUCGUGUCGUGAGAUGUUGGGUUAAGUCCCGCAACGAGCGCAACCCUUAUUAUCAGUUGCCAGCAUUAAGUUGGGCACUCUGGUGAGACUGCCGGUGACAAACCGGAGGAAGGUGGGGAUGACGUCAAAUCAUCAUGCCCCUUAUGACCUGGGCUACACACGUGCUACAAUGGAUGGUACAACGAGUUGCGAACUCGCGAGAGUAAGCUAAUCUCUUAAAGCCAUUCUCAGUUCGGAUUGUAGGCUGCAACUCGCCUACAUGAAGUCGGAAUCGCUAGUAAUCGCGGAUCAGCAUGCCGCGGUGAAUACGUUCCCGGGCCUUGUACACACCGCCCGUCACACCAUGAGAGUUUGUAACACCCAAAGUCGGUGGGGUAACCUUUUAGGAACCAGCCGCUUAAGGUGGGACAGAU